UAGCUGUCAACUUUCAGAUUUGAAAAUAAGGGAUCAGCAGCCUCACCUGUCCCAGGGAGCCUUGAAAAUAAGGGGUCAGCAGCCUCACCAGUCCCGGGGACACUCUACGGGAUAUCUAACAAUACGGGAUAGAAGCGGGAAGCAGUGGGAAACGGCGCUGGAAUAAGGGAAUUUCCCACAAAAAAAGGGAAGGUUGACAGCUAUGGCUGAGGAUGGCUGUGACGUUGGUCACCAAGCACAGGAACACCGUGCGCAUGACCAAGUCCAUGGAGCCUUUGGGAACGGCACACAGAUCCUCUCCGGGGGUGACAAUGAAGCCCUCAAAGCGCAGGUGCUGGUUCUUGGGAACGCUCUUCAGGAGAUACCUCCCAAAGUUGGGUUUGGGGUCGCUGCAGGUGAUAGUCCGGCAGCCCGGUGGGUAGAACAAUGGUUUUAGACAGUGGUUUUCAACCAGAGUGCCGGGGCACCCUGGGGUGCCUUGAAUAAUAGGGGUAAAGGGACCCCUGACCAUUAGGUCCAGUUGUGGCCGACUCUGGGGUUGUGGCGCUCAUCUCGCUUUAUUGGCCGAGGGAGCCGGUGUACAGCUUCCGGGUCAUGUGGCCAGCAUGACUAAGACGCUUCUGGCGAACCAGAGCAGCGCACGGAAACGCCGUUUACCUUCCCGCCGGAGUGGUACCUAUUGAUCUACUUGCACUUUGACGUGCUUUCAAACUGCUAGGUUGGCAGAAGUUCUAGGUUCUGUGGUUUACCCCACAGCGCCACCUGUGUCACUUGAAUGAUAGGGGUACUGCGCGCAAUACUUGCCUCUGUCCCUCUUUCCUUCCUUCUUUCCCUCCUCUGAUGCUCUCUGUACCUCCCAAAGGCUUGUGUGACACACACACCACCCUAUACCCGGAGGUCUCAGGGUGGUUCACAGAACAAAAUCAAAAUAUAAAACCACAAUAUAUGUAAUCAAAACAAAAUGAACAACCCAAUAACACCCCCCCAAAAAAGAACCACGUUUUAAAAGGGCAUAGGAUGUCAGUCAAAUCAACUAAAGGCCUGGUUAAAAAGGAACGUUUUUGCCUGGCCGCUAGGCAAACGUCCUGGGGGAGCAUUCCACAGAUGGGGCCCCACUGCAGAGAAGGCCCGUUCUCAGGUCGCCACCCUCUGCACCUCUUGAGGAGCAGGCACACAAAGGAGGGCCUCAGAAGAUGAUAACAGGGUCCUGGUAAAGACGGUCCCUGAGGUAUUGCGGUUCUGAGCCAUUUAAGGCUUUACAGUACAGUGGUACCACUGGUUAAGAACUUAAUUCGUUCCGGAGAUCCGUUCUUAACCUGAAACUGUUCUUAACCUGAAGCACCACUUUAGCUAAUGGGGCCUCCCGCUGCCGCUGCACGAUUUCUGUUCUCAUCCUGAAGCAAAGUUCUUAACCCGAGGUACUAUUUCUGGGUUAGUGGAGUUUGUAACCUGAAGCGUCUGUAACCUGAAGCGUCUUUAACCUGAGGUACCACUGUAUAAGUUAAAACCAGCACUUUGAAUUGAGCCCAGAAACUAAUUGGUAGCCAGUGUAGUCAGACCAGGAUUGGUGUAAUAUGCUCAAACAGUCUUGCCCCGGUUAGCAACCUGGCCCCAGAAUUCUGCACUGGCUGAAGUUUCCAAACUGUCUUCAGAGACAACCCUACAUAUAAGGCAUUGCAGUAAUCUAACCUUAAGGUUACGAGAGCCUAGACAACAGUAGUUAGGCUAUGCCUGUCCAGAUAGGGAUGUCGCUGGGCCACCAGCCAAAGUUGAUGGAAGGCACUUUGGGCCACUGAGGUCACCUGAGCCUCGAGCGACAGCAAAGGAUCCAGGAGUACCCCCAAGCUACAAACCUGCUCCUUCAGAGAAGUGUAACUCCAUCAAAAGCAGGUGACCUCCCACCCAUCUGAUCUAGGGAACCACCCACUCACAGUGCCUCAGUCAUAUCUGGAUUGAGCUUCAGUCUGUUCUUACUGUCACUAGGCUAAUCUGUUAGGUUCUUUUCCUACCGUCACUUGAUUGGUUUAUUGGGUUUCUUGGAACAUUGCAGCAGACUAUAAUGGGUGCAACCAUUGUUGUGCUUUUUAUUUUAUUUUUUUACCUUCCAGCUGUUGCAAAACUACAAUUCCCAUCAGUCCCAGCAAGCAUAGUCAGGUGACAAGGGGUGAUGUGGAGUUGAAGCUCAGCAAUGUGAAGGGUCAAAGACCUGAUCUAUAGCAUGUUUUUGUCUAAAGACCCUUCUCUAAAUAACUUUGAUGCUUGGAGGAAUUUCUGUAGAUUCCUUCAAAGUGUGCCCAUGCUAUGGAUGGAAAUAAUGCACAAGCAAAGGAAGAGAAAAGCAGGAAGGAGCCAUUUCUGAGCGGCAUGCGCUAAUGUUGUGUGCAGCUUCCAUGCAAAGCAACAGGAGGCAGUGUCGGCAUCCGAGUUUUUCCCAGUCAAACCGUCUGAGCUCUGCCCGGUACUGUUUUACUAAUUACCAGCAAUUAGAUCAAUCCAUGUUAACAGACUGGUGUGUCUGGUGAUGUUGCUGGGCCUCUCCUUUUUUGCUCAGUGCGCCGCAUGUGGGCAGCACCAUCAGAAGGAAAUGUGCCCCUAACUGAUGUGGCAAUCCACGGAGAGGCUAAAGAAUUGCGUCAUCGUUGCACAAUGGAGAAGGGACCAUGGCUUAGGCUGACUUGCAUGUGCCCAUUAGCAGCAUUUCCGCUGCAGUGCUGCACUGCCUGCAAAUGUUGAAGCUCUCCUGAAUGUAAAAGGCAGCAUGCAAUGCAUGUCGAAGCAGGUUCUAUAGGAGAAAUUGGACGGGAUGCUCUUAAAAGCAAAAGGCUUUGUUGGACACCGUGAAUUUGCAGCUCUCUGGAAUUUCAAACUAUUACUCUAAUUGAGGGCCAGCAUGAUGCUGGGGUUAGAAUCCUGGAGACCAAGGCUGGGGAAACCUUGAUUCAACACCCCCCCACACCAGAAACUCAGAAGGGUAAAGAAACCUUUUUCUCUAGUCACCCAGUCCCAUCUUGUAGUCAUCAGGCUGCUUUGUUUGAGACUAGUGAAUUUAUUGGAAUCUGCUGAUUUUUUUGGGAUGGUGGGCGGGGUCGGUUUUUGGAUCCAGGCUCAGCUAAAUGCAGUCAAGUCCCGUUGAAGCCACUGUGAAAACUUGGUCCCGAUUUCAGGCUUCCAUUGAAAGUGUGGCACUGAAGUUGAACUAAUGGAGCCCAGAGCCAACCCUUCAGAAUUGCUUGCAGCCUUGGGGAUUACCGUGAACACGGAUGGGAAGGAAAGCUAGGAUGACAGCAAGGAAUGGCGCUGACCGCUAAGUAAGAGGGACAGAUGAGAUUUCAUCCAAGAGAAGAGGUUAAAACAAGAUGGACAUACCUUUUUAUUGCAAAUUCCAAAGUAAAAAGAUGUACAGUACAAAGGAAAUCAAAUAAGUCAGACGGUAUUCAUCUUUCAUCCCAGCUAUUUUGUUGAAGUAGGUAUUUUUUUAUAUAAAAAAAACCACACACAUGCUCUUUCUCCCCUCCCCAAAACUCCUCUUUUUCCUCAUUUGCUUUGUUUUGUUUGUUUGUUUGUGUGUGUCUUAAAGCAGAAUAAAAUCUACUGGGUUAGGGUCUAAAGGGGCUGAAAAUAAAGACAUUAUUG